rnacentral:rRNA from 1 species
CCUACGGGGGGCAGCAGUGGGGAAUAUUGGACAAUGGGGGGAACCCUGAUCCAGCCAUGCCGCGUGUGUGAAGAAGGCCCUCGGGUUGUAAAGCACUUUCAGUGAGGAAGAACGCCUGGUGGUUAAUACCCAUCAGGAAAGACAUCACUCACAGAAGAAGCACCGGCUAACUCCGUGCCAGCAGCCGCGGUAAUACGGAGGGUGCGAGCGUUAAUCGGAAUUACUGGGCGUAAAGCGCGCGUAGGUGGCUUGAUAAGCCGGUUGUGAAAGCCCCGGGCUCAACCUGGGAACGGCAUCCGGAACUGUCAAGCUAGAGUGCAGGAGAGGAAGGUAGAAUUCCCGGUGUAGCGGUGAAAUGCGUAGAGAUCGGGAGGAAUACCAGUGGCGAAGGCGGCAUUCUGGACUGACACUGACACUGAGGUGCGAAAGCGUGGGUAGCAAACAGGAUUAGAUACCCGAGUAGUC